AAAAGUCGUAACAAGGCAUACCAAGAAGAACCUGCGGAAGGAUCAUUAUCGAACAUACCCGCUGCAAGCCGUCGCACUGACCUUCAAAGGCCGUGACGCCCGAGCGCUCUCGCCACAAUCCACCUCACCCCUUUGUGCAUCACCGCGUGGGUCCCCCUUUCGCAGGCGGGCUCGCGUUUUCACAUUAAACUUGAUACAGUCUAGAAUGUUAAUUUCUGCGGUCACACGCAAUCAAUACAACUUUCAACAACGGAUCUCUUGGCUCUCGCAUCGAUGAAGAACGCAGCGAAAUGCGAUACGUAAUGUGAAUUGCAGAAUUCAGUGAAUCAUCGAAUCUUUGAACGCACCUUGCGCCCCUUGGCAUUCCGAGGGGCACACCCGUUUGAGUGUCGUGAAAUCCUCAAAAAUCCUUUUCUUUGAUCGGAAUAGGACUUUUGGACUUGGAGGUUCAAUGCUUGCUUUCGCCUUUGAAAACGAGCUCCUCUCAAAUGAAUCAGUGGGGUCCGCUUUGCUGAUCCUUGACGUGAUAAGAUGUUUUCUACGUUUUGGAUUUGGCACUGUUUUCUGGAUGUCCGCUCCUAACCGUCCCAUGGACAGUGAUGGUGCUUCGGUCACCGCCAUCUAUGUUGGCGGGAGGCUGGACCCACG
rnacentral:rRNA from 1 species